UAUAUCUGUGAGUAUUGGAAAAAGAUUCAAAUUCCCGAGUUCACGGUUCUUCUUAUAAUGACUAAACAACGGAUGGCCUGCGAUGUGGCACUCGCUGCUUUAAUUCUAAAUUCCCUCUCUGGAUUGCCGUCGAAUGCAUCCCUAUCUGCUUCGUUUUAGAAUGCGAAACGAAUACGAUUACUUACGCUUUGCUAGCAAGGUCAAUCGAGGGACAGAGACCACCGUUUGCCAAGCCGUGUAUCCGGAUCUCCUUGAUAUUGAUCUCUUCAAUGCUUUGACCUUGCGCUUUAUAGCGACGAAACAUGGCGAACAAUUCCUCUACACAUAUGAUAAUCCCGUACGCUAUUUUUGGUUGGAGUGCUCUAACAAUCUUUAAUGUCUUCAGUAUGAUCUCUGGGAUCAUCCUGAACAGUGUGGCUAUCUAUAUUAUCUACCUGGACCGGCAAAACUUUACUGCUUUCCGCAUUUACAUCAUUAAUCUUCUCAUUUGCAACUUACUCCAUGCCACCAUGAAUAAACCAGCCGCAAUAUUGUUGCAUUGGAACGCAACCAAUUUCCACAAUCCGGAACUUUGUGACCUUUUUAUUUUCGCCACUUCCAUCACACUAACCUCCACGAUGCAUGCCAACCUGCUGAUGACGCUGAACCGAUUUUGGGCGGUGACCUUUCCCAAUUCCUACCGUCUGCGUCAUAAGGUGAAACUGGCAUGUAGCGCAUGCGUUAUCAUGUUUUUCUACAGUCAAAUUAUUAGUCUCCCGGCGUUGAUCAUCGAUUCCUUGUACUACCGUCUCGCUACAACGGUAAUCCCAGCGUGCUCGGCCAAUCAACCAGCACAACCCAGGACACUGGAUGGUCGUGCAUUUCACGCGCUGUUGUUGCCGGAACUGCUGACCAUUGGAUUGU